rnacentral:rRNA from 1 species
AUUGAACGCUGGCGGCAUGCUUUACACAUGCAAGUCGAACGGCAGCACGGGGCAACCUGGUGGCGAGUGGCGAACGGGUGAGUAAUGCAUCGGAACGUACCUUUCAGUGGGGGAUAACGUAGCGAAAGUUACGCUAAUACCGCAUAUUCUGUGAGCAGGAAAGCAGGGGAUCGCAAGACCUUGCGCUGAUUGAGCGGCCGAUGUCAGAUUAGCUAGUGGGUGAGGUAAAGGCUCACCAAGGCGACGAUCUGUAGCGGGUCUGAGAGGAUGAUCCGCCACACUGGAACUGAGACACGGUCCAGACUCCUACGGGAGGCAGCAGUGGGGAAUUUUGGACAAUGGGGGCAACCCUGAUCCGGCCAUGCCGCGUGAGUGAAGAAGGCCUUCGGGUUGUAAAGCUCUUUCGGCCGGGAAGAAAUCGCACGGGCUAAUACCCUGUGUGGAUGACGGUACCGGAAUAAGAAGCACCGGCUAACUACGUGCCAGCCGCCGCGGUAA